GAUGAACGCUGGCGGCGUGCCUAAUACAUGCAAGUCGAGCGAACAGAUGAGGAGCUUGCUUCUCUGACGUUAGCGGCGGACGGGUGAGUAACACGUGGCUAACCGACCUAUAAGACUGAGAUAACUUCGGGAAACCGGAGCUAAUACCGGAUAAUAUAUUGAACCGGGUGGUUCAAUAGUGAAAGACGGUUUUGCUGUCACUAAUAGAGGGUUCCGCGCCGCAUUAGCUAGUUGGUAAGGUAACGGCUUACCAAGGCGACGAUGCGUAGCCGACCUGAGAGGGUGAUCGGCCACACUGGAACUGAGACACGGUCCAGACUCCUACGGGAGGCAGCAGUAGGGAAUCUUCCGCAAUGGGCGAAAGCCUGACGGAGCAACGCCGCGUGAGUGAUGAAGGUCUUCGGAUCGUAAAACUCUGUUAUUAGGGAAGAACAAAUGUGUAAGUAACUAUGCACGUCUUGACGGUACCUAAUCAGAAAGCCACGGCUAACUACGUG
rnacentral:rRNA from 1 species